GACGUAGGGGGCGAGCGUUGUCCGGAUUUAUUGGGCGUAAAGCGUGCGUAGGCGGCUGCGCAAGUCGAUUGUGAAACCCCGGGGCUCAACCCCGGAACUGCAUCCGAUACUGCGUGGCUAGAGGUAGGUAGGGGAGAUCGGAAUUCCUGGUGUAGCGGUGAAAUGCGCAGAUAUCAGGAGGAACACCGGUGGCGAAGGCGGAUCUCUGGGCCUUACCUGACGCUCAGGCACGAAAGCUAGGGGAGCGAACAGG
rnacentral:rRNA from 1 species